CCGCCCGUCACACCAUGGGAGUGGGUUGCACCAGAAGUAGCUAGUCUAACCACGCAAGUGGAGGACGGUUACCACGGUGUGAUUCAUGACUGGGGUG
rnacentral:rRNA from 1 species